AUUGAACGCUGGCGGCAGGCCUAACACAUGCAAGUAGAGCGGAGAGGCGGACGGGUGAGUAAUGCCUAGGAAUCUGCCUGGUAGUGGGGGAUAACGUCCGGAAACGGGCGAUAAUACCGCAUACUAUCAGAUGAGCCUAGGACGGAUUAGCGAGUUGGUGGGGUAACGGCCUCCACAGGCGACGAUCCGUAACUGGUCUGAGAGGAUGAUAAGUCAAACUGGAACUGAGACACGGUCCAGACUCCUACGGGAGGCAGCAGUGGGGAAUAUUGCACAAUGGGCGCAAGCCUGAUGCAGCCAUGCCGCGUGUAUGAAUAAGGCCUUCGGGUUGUAAAGUACUUUCAGCGGGGAGGCGUUACCCGCAGAAGAAGCACCGGCUAACUCCGUGCCAGCAGCCGCGGUAAUUC
rnacentral:rRNA from 1 species